GGAUUCCCCUAGUAACUGCGAGUGAAGCGGGAAAAGCUCAAAUUUAAAAUCUGGCAGUCUCUGGCUGUCCGAGUUGUAAUCUAGAGAAGUAAUGCCCGUGCUGGACCGUGUAUAAGUCUCCUGGGAUGGGGCGUCAUAGAGGGUGAGAAUCCCGUCUUUGACACGGACUACCAGUGCAUUGUGGUAUGCUCUCAAAGAGUCGAGUUGUUUGGGAAUGCAGCUCAAAAUGGGUGGUAAAUUCCAUCUAAAGCUAAAUAUUGGCGAGAGACCGAUAGCGAACAAGUACCGUGAGGGAAAGAUGAAAAGAACUUUGGAAAGAGAGUUAAACAGUACGUGAAAUUGCUGAAAGGGAAACGCUUGAAGUCAGUCGCGUUGGCCGGGAAUCAGCCUUGCUUUUGCACGGUGUACUUUCUGGUUGACGGGUCAGCAUCAAUUUUGAUCGCUGGAAAAAGGCCUGGGGAAUGUGGCAGCUUCGGCUGUGUUAUAGCCCCUAGUCGCAUACAGUGGUUGGGAUUGAGGAACUCAGCACGCCGCAAGGCCGGGUUUCGACCACGUUCGUGCUUAGGAUGCUGGCAUAAUGGCUUUAAGCGACCCGUCUUGAAACACGGACCAAGGAGUCUAACAUGCCUGCGAGUAUUUGGGUGGAAAACCCAAGUGCGUAAUGAAAGUGAAAGUUGAGAUCCCUGUCGUGGGGAGCAUCGACGCCCGGACCAGAACUUUUGGGACGGAUCCGCGGUGGAGCAUGUAUGUUGGGACCCGAAAGAUGGUGAACUAUGCCUGAAUAGGGUGAAGCCAGAGGAAACUCUGGUGGAGGCUCGUAGCGAUUCUGACGUGCAAAUCGAUCGUCAAAUUUGGGUAUAGGGGCGAAA
rnacentral:rRNA from 1 species